CCCAGGUACAUGCCCUUGACCGGAAUCGAACCCGGGACCCUUCAGUCCGCAGUCCGACGCUCUAUCCACCGAGCCAAACCGGUUUCGGCGAGGAUAACCACUUCUAAUAGAAGUGCACAUCUUCAGUCCCAAGUUCUCCCCUCAUUCAGCAGAACAACCAUAGCAUCUGUUAUGGACUGAAUGCUUGUGUCCCCCUAAAAUUCUUAUGUUAAAGCCCUAACCCCCAAUGUGACUGUAUUUGAAGAUGAGGCAUGUGAAAAGGUGACAAAGGUUAAGUGAGGUCAAUAGGGCUUGUGCCCUUAUGAGAAGGAGAGGCACCAGCACUCAGCCAUGUGAAGACGCAGGGAGAAGGCGGCCACCUACAAGCCAGAAAGAGAGCCCUCACCCGGAGCUGACCAUGCUGGACCUUAUUUCAGACUUCUAGCCUCUAGAACUGUGAGAAAAUAAAUUUCUGUUGUUUAAGCCA